rnacentral:rRNA from 1 species
CCUACGGGGGGCAGCAGUGAGGAAUAUUGGUCAAUGGACGAGAGUCUGAACCAGCCAAGUAGCGUGAAGGAUGACUGCCCUAUGGGUUGUAAACUUCUUUUAUAUGGGAAUAAAAUGUUCCACGUGUGGGCUUUUGUAUGUACCAUAUGAAUAAGGAUCGGCUAACUCCGUGCCAGCAGCCGCGGUAAUACGGAGGAGCCGAGCGUUAUCCGGAUUUAUUGGGUUUAAAGGGAGCGUAGGUGGAUUGUUAAGUCAGUUGUGAAAGUUUGCGGCUCAACCGUAAAAUUGCAGUUGAAACUGGCAGUCUUGAGUACAGUAGAGGUGGGCGGAAUUCGUGGUGUAGCGGUGAAAUGCUUAGAUAUCACGAAGAACUCCGAUUGCGAAGGCAGCUCACUGGACUGCAACUGACACUGAGGCUCGAAAGUGUGGGUAUCAAACAGGAUUAGAUACCCGAGUAGUC